UAGGAUGGUGUUCUUGAUGGUUCAGAUCCCU
rnacentral:piRNA from 3 species